rnacentral:rRNA from 1 species
ACUGCUCAGUAACACGUGGAUAACCUGACCUAAGGUGGAGAAUAACCCCGGGAAACUGGGGAUAAUACUCCAUAGAUUAGAGCUACUGGAAUGUUCUCUAGUCAAAAGCUCCGGCGCCUUAGGGUGGAUCUGCGGUCGAUUAGGUUGUUGUUGGGGUAACGGCCCAACAAGCCUGUAAUCGAUACGGGUUGUGGGAGCAAGAGCCCGGAGAUGGAAUCUGAGACACGAUUCCAGGCCCUACGGGGCGCAGCAGGCGCGAAAACUUUACAAUGCAGGAAACUGUGAUAAGGGAACCCCGAGUGCCCGUAUACGCGGGCUGUCCAGGUGUUUAAAACGCAUCUGAAGAAAGGGCCGGGCAAGACCGGUGCCAGCCGCCGCGGUAAUACCGGCGGCUCGAGUGGUGGCCACUAUUAUUGGGCUUAAAGCGUCCGUAGCUGGACCCCUAAGUCUCUUGGGAAAUCCGCCGGCUUAACCGGCGGGCGUCUAGGAGAUACUGGAGGUCUAGGGACCGGGAGAGGUGAGAGGUACUCCGGGGGUAGGAGUGAAAUCCUGUAAUCCCCGGGGGACCACCGAUGGCGAAGGCAUCUCACCAGAGCGGCUCCGACAGUGAGGGACGAAAGCUGGGGGAGCGAACCGGAUUAGAUACCCGGGUAGUCCCAGCCGUAAACUAUGCGCGUUAGGUGUACUGGUGACCACGAGUCACUGGGGUGCCGAAGGGAAACCGUGAAACGUGCCGCCUGGGAAGUACGGUCGCAAGGCUGAAACUUAAAGGAAUUGGCGGGGGAGCAC